UACGGAGGGGGCUAGCGUUGUUCGGAAUUACUGGGCGUAAAGCGCACGUAGGCGGCUUUGUAAGUCAGAGGUGAAAGCCUGGAGCUCAACUCCAGAACUGCCUUUGAGACUGCAUCGCUUGAAUCCAGGAGAGGUCAGUGGAAUUCCGAGUGUAGAGGUGAAAUUCGUAGAUAUUCGGAAGAACACCAGUGGCGAAGGCGGCUGACUGGACUGGUAUUGACGCUGAGGUGCGAAAGCGUGGGGAGCAAACAGG
rnacentral:ncRNA from 2 species